GAUCAUUACCGAGUGCAGGUCUGCCCCCGGGCAGGCCUAACCUCCCACCCGUGAAUACCUGACCAACGUUGCUUCGGCGGUGCGCCCCCCCGGGGGCAGCCGCCGGAGACCACACCGAACCUCUUGUUAUAGCAUGUCGUCUGAGCUUGAUACAAGCAAACCUAAUUAAAACUUUCAACAAUGGAUCUCUUGGUUCCGGCAUCGAUGAAGAACGCAGCGAACUGCGAUAAGUAAUGUGAAUUGCAGAAUUCAGUGAAUCAUCGAGUCUUUGAACGCACAUUGCGCCCCCUGGCAUUCCGGGGGGCAUGCCUGUCCGAGCGUCAUUGCUGCCCUUCAAGCCCGGCUUGUGUGUUGGGUCGUCGUCCCCCCCCCCCCCCCCCGGGGGACGGGCCCGAAAGGCAGCGGCGGCACCGCGUCCUGGUCCUCGAGCGUAUGGGGCUUUGUCACCCGCUCGUUUAGGGCCGGCCGGGCGCCAGCCGACGUCUCCAAACCUUUUAU
rnacentral:misc_RNA from 1 species